AGAGCGAACGCUGGCGGCGUGCUUAACACAUGCAAGUCGAACGCGCAGCAUUCUGUAGCAAUACAGGGUGUGGGCGCGUGGCGAACGGGUGCGUAACACGUGGAUAACCUUCCUUGAGGUGGGAAUAACCCAGUGAAAAUUGGGCUAAUACCGCAUAACAUCGCGAUGGCACAUGCUGAUGCGAUCAAAGGCGCAAGUCGCCACAAGAGGGAUCCGCGGCCUAUCAGCUUGUUGGUGGGGUAACGGCCUACCAAGGCAACGACGGGUA
rnacentral:rRNA from 1 species